GCGGGCGUAGUUCAAAGGUAGAACGAAAGCUUCCCAAGCUUUAGAUGAGGGUUCGAUCCCCUUCGCCCGCUCCA
rnacentral:tRNA from 1 species